CCUACGGGAGGCAGCAGUGGGGAAUAUUGCACAAUGGGCGCAAGCCUGAUGCAGCCAUGCCGCGUGUGUGAAGAAGGCCUUCGGGUUGUAAAGCACUUUCAGCGGGGAGGAAGGCGGUGAGGUUAAUAACCUCAUCGAUUGACGUUAGCCGCAGAAGAAGCACCGGCUAACUCCGUGCCAGCAGCCGCGGUAAUACGGAGGGUGCAAGCGUUAAUCGGAAUUACUGGGCGUAAAGCGCACGCAGGCGGUCUGUCAAGUCGGAUGUGAAAUCCCCGGGCUCAACCUGGGAACUGCAUUCGAAACUGGCAGGCUAGAGUCUUGUAGAGGGGGGUAGAAUUCCAGGUGUAGCGGUGAAAUGCGUAGAUAUCGGGAGGAAUACCGGUGGCGAAGGCGGCCCCCUGGACAAAGACUGACGCUCAGGUGCGAAAGCGUGGGGAGCGAACAGGAUUAGAUACCCGUGUAGUC
rnacentral:rRNA from 1 species